rnacentral:rRNA from 1 species
GACGAACGCUGGCGGCGUGCUUAACACAUGCAAGUCGAACGGUGAAGCUCCAGCUUGCUGGAGUGGAUCAGUGGCGAACGGGUGAGUAACACGUGAGCAACCUGCCCCUGACUCUGGAAUAAGCGCUGGAAACGGCGUCUAAUACUGGAUACGAGAAGGGUCCGCAUGGGCACUUUCUGGAAAGUUUUUCGGUUGGGGAUGGGCUCGCGGCCUAUCAGCUUGUUGGUGAGGUAAUGGCUCACCAAGGCGACGACGGGUAGCCGGCCUGAGAGGGCGACCGGCCCACCUGGGACGAGGAAAGGGCCCAGACCCCUGGGGGGGGCAGGAGGGGGGAAUAUUGACAAAUGGGGGAAAGCCUGAUGCAGCGACCCCGGGGGGGGGAUGAGGGCUUUCGGGUGGUAACCCCCUUUGACCAGGGAAGAAGCAAAAGGGACGGUACCGGAAAAAAAAGCCCGGGCAAACUACGU